AUGCUAAGUAAAAUAAGCCAGUCACAAAAAGGAAGCUCAAAAUUAUUCUUGCAUAAUCCACUGCCUUCAGAGGACUUCUGUCAUUUAUCAAGAUGAGUUUAUCAAAGGAUCCAAAGAAAAGUAAAUUAUGCCUUCCCAUCCUUUGAGGCCCAGUUUAAUUUCAACUACUCCAAGAAGCCCCUGCUGUUGGAAUAGCCUUUGUAUUCCAUUGCAUGGAAGUUCUCCAAGAGCUUUGCUCCUUUAUUAAACUCUUCAUAGUCCAAUCCAAGCAUUUGUCUAUGCAACCUAUCAUGCCCUGAGAGGAUCCACAUUGCUGUGUCUGCUCAACACUGUUAAAUAUGACAAGCUGAAACCUCUGCACUUAAAGAUACAGAACUGUAUAUAACAAGCUCCCUGGCUCAUGGAAGAUGGAAUCUACUGCAAAGAAACUGAACAAAACUAUA